ensembl:lincRNA
AGGCCCUCACCAGAAGCAGAUGCUGGUUCCAUACCUCUUGCACAAGCUGCAGAACUGUGAGCACAUCUGAGGAGAACAUGAUGUUCUCUUCAGACUCGAACACAUCUAAAGAGAACUCCUGGGAAGCCGUAAGGACACAUCAUUUGAGCCUCCUGAGGCAGCUGGAACAUCUCCCAUGAGCUGCCCUGCCAACCCCUCCUCCCAAGCCUGCACAGAACCUGAGAAGGGAAGAGAGUGAGAAGCAUCAGGAUUGGCAGAUUGGGGAUUGUGGAAGAAAAACAUGGGGUUAUGUAAAACAUGGAAGGCAUGGAAGAGUGUUGAUAAGAAAAAAAUCAUCAGCACCCAGAUGACUUUGCAGAAAAGUGCCAUUAUAUCAACUUGGACAUUUAUGCGAAAGAGAAAUAAACGUUUCUCUUGUUUAAGUCACUGUUAUUUUGUGUUCCUGUUGUAUGCAGCCAAACUUGAAUUCUAAUUAGGACAGUGAC